UACAGAGGUCUCAAGCGUUGUUCGGAUUCAUUGGGCGUAAAGGGUGCGUAGGCGGCGCGGUAAGUCGGGUGUGAAAUCUCGGAGCUUAACUCCGAAACUGCAUUCGAUACUGCCGUGCUUGAGGACUGGAGAGGAGACUGGAAUUUACGGUGUAGCGGUGAAAUGCGUAGAUAUCAGGAGGAACACCGGUGGCGAAGGCGCUCAUCUGGCCCAAUACUGACGCUGAAGCGCGAAAGCUAGGGGAGCAAACGGG
rnacentral:rRNA from 1 species